rnacentral:tRNA from 1 species
GCCUUCGUAGUCUAUUGGUUAACACACUCAGGGCGUACUCGAGAGGUCCAGGUUCGAGUCCUGGUGAGGGCA